CUUGACCGGUGAAUUACAUCUAGACUAGAAGGACAAUGAAUGAAUGAAUUAUAAGUGCCUAAGAGGGAUGCCAUAAUGUUGAGCUUUCUUGUGUACAAAGACUCCUAGAACUGGGUGUGUCCUUGCAGGCACCCUAGAAGCUUUGAUAUGGAGCUGCUGUUACAAGAGACAUAGGCUACUAUGGCAUGAGUCUGGAUACCCACACUGGCCCAAUGUACAUCUCAUUUCCUGGGCCAAAGUCGUCACCUGGGGACCAAACAUGACUAGCUCUUGGACUGCUGUGGAGACUCCUGGGAAUAGGAAAGUCCUGAUGCUACCCUUAAGCAGGCUAUUCUUGGACUGCAACAGGCAGGUCCUAUGGUCAGUUACAGCUAGCGAAGCACUUGGAAUAGUUAACUUAGCUAGAGCAACAUCUAAAGGAGGGGAAGGCAAUGCUCACUACUGGCUUAGGACUUCAACAUACUGUAUAAGACUUCAUAUCAUCUCACAUCACUCCAUUCAGGUUGGCUUCAUUCUCAAGAUUUUCCUCAUGGCCACAAGAUGGCUGCCGGCAACAUUGGUUCAUACUUAGCCUGAAAAAUGUACAAGUUACAGGUCACCUAUUCAGAGACACCUUCCCUGAUCACACAGUCUGUUUGAGAUUCCCUUCCACCACCUCAUGAUUCUCCAUUAUCCCACCAUAUCACCAUUAUUGGUGAUCACGACAAACCCGAUCUACAGUGCAGGAACGUGCUGGUU
rnacentral:lncRNA from 1 species